rfam:Mycobacterium neoaurum VKM Ac-1815D, complete genome.
UCGGUUCCGGUUCACGCUCGAAGACUCCCAGGUCUGGGCUCGGGCGACCCGGCGGCC